rnacentral:lncRNA from 1 species
UUCCCCUUUAUUUCCACUUCUUCCUCUCUCUUCUCACCUUAUCUCAUCUCUCUAACUUAGCUGCCCACCACCCUUCUCUGCCGCCGAAAAUCACCUCCACCGGCGGCCGUCGUCCAAACCACCCAAAAAUUCAGCCUUUCUUCCCCUCAAUCUCCUCUCCAUGAAUCCAAACCCCAAAUUCUUAAAUUCCUCUCAAUCCCCAUAAAUUUAAGCCUAACUAAACCCCUAACCGUCACUCACCAUCCCAAAAUCAAAAACAUUUACACCACCGGGCUCCUCUCACUCUCCUCUUCUCCAUUCCAUGCCCCAAUAUCUUCAAAACCCUCCAAAAUAUAGCCAAAAUUUGGCCGAAUUCCGGCCAUCCAUCUUCUACCGCUACUGAGCCACUUUUCUAGCAUGAACACUACCUCACAGCUUCUCUUUCUCUUUGACACAGUGCUGGAAUCAACUUUAUUUUGUCAAAAUUUAUAUUUUUCGGCAUUUGUCAUCGAGGAAAAAGAGGCUUAGAAAUCGAUUCGUCGUCUAGUCAUUUGUACCACUGGUUUGAAGCCCGAGCGUUUAGGUAACAUCCUAAUCCCUUGUUCAUCGGUUUUAGUUUCUCCUUUGUUGAUUGAUUUUUAGAUUUUUAGUUUAGUUUAAGUUCUAUUUUUUCUUAAUCAGUGAUUACUCAUCUUUGAUUGAUUUUGGAAAUUCUGUUAUUGUUUAUUCAUUUAGGCCACUGCUUCAAUCCUUUACCUCUUUUUAUAACUUCUCUGUUUAAUUUCUAGUUUUCAAUUAAUUAAUCCAUGAUUGUUAGUUCGUGUUUGUUUCAUUUACAAUCAUCAAUGAUUAGUUGUUAUUUCAUGAUUUUCGAAUCAUAUAUUAGUUAGUAUGUCAUAUUUUCUGUCAUUAUGUUUUCAUUUAGUAAUCAGUUAUAUUAAUCACUUCGAUGUGAAUACAUGUUUGUUGACCUUAAUGUUUGUUAUAUCUCUGGACUUCAACUAAAAUUUUGAAGUCUCCGGACUAUAACUAAAAUAUCAAAUCCGUCAAUUCUAGCUUCUUUAAUUUUUGAUUUUGAUAGUUCUUAGGCUUAAAGUUUAGGUUUACUUAUAUUAGUAUAUUUGGAGUUUGGAGAUGAUGUUUAGUCGCUCUUUAGACUUGAAUCACCUAUUGCAUUGUAAUUUUGAGUUUGUCUUUCCUACAUUGUCUCAUUUCAUUUUGAGUUAAUAGUUAUGUGUUUAAAGAUUUACUUUUAGUCCUAAUUAACUAGAUUAAGUUUGAAAUAGUUAUUUAGUAUAGGUAUUUAUAUGUUUAAGUCUUGUUGAAUCCUACUAGUUGACUCUUAACCGAUCUUGUUCGAAUUACUAGUUUUCUGAACUAGAAUGAAUCUGGUUUCUCUUUAUGGACUAGUUAGCUUUGAAUUUAGUUUGAAGGAUUAAGAGGAAAGGGAAAGAAAGAGAGUGUACUUGAGUGUAGGUCUUUAUUUGAUUGCUUUUACUGUUGAGGACUAUUUUGGAGUAUAAUACUCCAAAAUUCUGUCCACAAUUGGUAAGAAAAACUAUUCAUUGGAUCAAAAUCUGGUUUGAACAGAUUUUUUAUCAAAAAUCUAUUAUUUUGGACAGAUUUUUCGCUAAACAAAAUCUGUCCCAGGAGUACUUCUUCUCUCCUAUAAAGAUGAGGUAUUUCCACACUAUCUACAGACUUGGAGAACAUCUAUAGAGUUGCUUGAACACAUCUGAAAAAUGACUUCUUUUAUACAUUAAAAAGGCACAACUUUGAGAGUAAAAAUAGGAUCAAAACACUUAGUAGUAAGCUGAAAGUGGUGAGCUUUUGUGAGUGAAUUCUUUGUGAGAAAGACUUUUCAAAAACAUAAGAGUGUUGAAGUUGAUUGAUGGGAUCCUUCUUCUUUUAAAGUUACUAAGUUUAAGGAUCUUUUCUAGAUUGUUUCUUGGGUUAAAAGUUGUUGAUUUGCUGCUGGUUGUUGCUGUUUUUGCCUGUUAUUUGUGCUGGAAUUUCACUUCAUUUUGCUGUAUUUUGGUAUUUCUAUACAUUUCAGGUAAUUCUUCAUCCUCUGUAAUUCAGAUUUGUAAUAUCAAUCAAUGAAGGAUUAAGCAUGUUUAUAUUAUUUGAGCAUCUUCAAAGGAGUUUGCCAAAAGUUUUAGUUUUAAUCCGGCUUGGGGAUCAUAGUACUAAAUUCGUGAAUUUGUUGCUAUGUCCUUCCUUUGUAGUAUUUCCUUUCCUCUUUUAAGUUGUAUUUCGAUAUAUUCUUGGCAUUAAAAAAGGAAAUAGUAUGUUAAAGAUUUAACGAAGAUUUUGGAAUGGACAAAAGGUUUGUGAAAAAGAGUUCUGUUUAGCUUAAGAUAUCUGCCAUUUUGCUCGCUGUAAGUUGGAAUUAAUAUCAUCAAAAGAUAAUGAUCUGAUUUUAUUAUUCCCUUAUUGUAGCAAUAUUAUUUUGGGCUUUAGUUGAUUUAUCGUUACUCAAGUGUUCAUUCUACAUUUCAUGUUUCUUUUACUAGUCCCCUUUAGUACUACUUUAGUUAGUGAAAGCUGAAAUUUUUCUUUCCUCCAAGUCACAUGGAAAUAGUAUGGGCCGUUUGUGCAGUUGUUAAGCUAUUGGCUCAUAAUAGCUGAUGAGUUACAUUUGUAUUUAACU